rnacentral:lncRNA from 1 species
GAAAAGUUGCACACAAAUCACACAAAAGAAAAGGACAUUAGGUAAUUAGAUAAUAUACACUACACUCUAAUACCCCCCAAACUGGAACUAAACAUUGUCCCCAAUGUUAAGAAAUAAUGCAAGUAAAAAUGGAAAGUGACAAAAAGGAAUCAGAGGCUCCCCUAGUAUUGAUCUGCGGGCGGUGGAUGGAAUGGCAUAAACGCUCUUGAACUGGACAAGUCCGAUGUAGAUGGUGGCUGAUGAUUGGAUCUAGAGAGGUCUUGCAUCAAAGCACAUAGCUGAUCAAUUUGUCUAUGUGUAUCCGACCUGUUAUACAUGACCUCGUCCCUUGUAUUCAUGUCCUCCAAUCUGUUAUAUAUGGCCUCAUUUCUAAUGUGCAUAUCCUCAACCUGUCCCGUGAAUCUGUCUAAUUGUCUCCCCAUGAGGUCAUGUUCCCUAUGCAAUGUCAACCUUUCACCCAAAAGCCUAUUGAUAUCUCGCUCCAUAGCUUAUAGCUUGAUAUUCCUAGCAUGCUCCCUGUCAUCUUGGGCUUCCUGCCUGGCUUGUGAAGCAGUCAUUAUAUGCUCUAUAUGCUGUAAUGUUUGGUUAGUCUCUGUCAGACCAGCAAACAAUUGCCUCAUAAUCUGCAAAUCAGGUACGGCCUCUGGCCCCUACA